UACGUAGGGUGCAAGCGUUAAUCGGAAUUACUGGGCGUAAAGCGUGCGCAGGCGGCUAUGCAAGACAGAUGUGAAAUCCCCGGGCUCAACCUGGGAACUGCAUUUGUGACUGCAUAGCUAGAGUACGGUAGAGGGGGAUGGAAUUCCGCGUGUAGCAGUGAAAUGCGUAGAGAUGUGGAGGAACACCGAUGGCGAAGGCAGCCCCCCUGGGUCAAGAUUGACGCUCAUGCACGAAAGCGUGGGGGAGCAAACAGG
rnacentral:rRNA from 1 species